AGACCCGAAACCCGGUGAUCUAGCCAUGGGCAGGUUGAAGGUUGGGUAACACUAACUGGAGGACCGAACCGACUAAUGUUGAAAAAUUAGCGGAUGACCUGUGGCUGGGGGUGAAAGGCCAAUCAAACCGGGAGAUAGCUGGUUCUCCCCGAAAGCUAUUUAGGUAGCGCCUCGUGAAUUCAUCUCCGGGGGUAGAGCACUGUUUCGGCUAGGGGGCCAUCCCGGCUUACCAACCCGAUGCAAACUGCGAAUACCGGAGAAUGUUAUCACGGGAGACACACGGCGGGUGCUAACGUCCGUCGUGAAGAGGGAAACAACCCAGACCGCCAGCUAAGGUCCCAAAGUCAUGGUUAAGUGGGAAACGAUGUGGGAAGGCCCAGACAGCCAGGAUGUUGGCUUAGAAGCAGCCAUCAUUUAAAGAAAGCGUAAUAGCUCACUGGUCGAGUCGGCCUGCGCGGAAGAUGUAACGGGGCUAAACCAUGCACCGAAGCUGCGGCAGCGAACGUAUCACCCAAGACAACUUUACGGAGUUGACGAUUGACGGAGCGAAGCGACGUCAAAGCGUUCAUUAAAGUCGAGUUGGCUUAGGGAUACGUUCGUUGGGUAGGGGAGCGUUCUGUAAGCCUGUGAAGGUGUGUCGUGAGGCAUGCUGGAGGUAUCAGAAGUGCGAAUGCUGACAUAAGUAACGAUAAAGCGGGUGAAAAGCCCGCUCGCCGGAAGACCAAGGGUUCCUGUCCAACGUUAAUCGGGGCAGGGUGAGUCGACCCCUAAGGCGAGGCCGAAAGGCGUAGUCGAUGGGAAACGGGUUAAUAUUCCCGUACUUGGUGUUACUGCGAAGGGGGGACGGAGAAGGCUAUGUUGGCCGGGCGACGGUUGUCCCGGUUUAAGCGUGUAGGUGUGUGUUCCAGGUAAAUCCGGUUCACUUUAACACUGAGGCGUGACGACGAGGCACUACGGUGCUGAAGCAACAAAUGCCCUGCUUCCAGGAAAAGCCUCUAAGCAUCAGGUAACACGAAAUCGUACCCCAAACCGACACAGGUGGUCAGGUAGAGAAUACCAAGGCGCUUGAGAGAACUCGGGUGAAGGAACUAGGCAAAAUGGUGCCGU
rnacentral:rRNA from 2 species